rnacentral:rRNA from 1 species
CCUACGGGUGGCUGCAGUGAGGAAUAUUGGUCAAUGGGCGCGAGCCUGAACCAGCCAAGUAGCGUGAAGGAUGACUGCCCUACGGGUUGUAAACUUCUUUUAUAAAGGAAUAAAGUGAGGCACGUGUGCCUUUUUGUAUGUACUUUAUGAAUAAGGAUCGGCUAACUCCGUGCCAGCAGCCGCGGUAAGACAUAGGGGGCAAGCGUUGUUCGGAAUUACUGGGCGUAAAGGGUGCGUAGGCGGGAGAUUAAGUUAAGAGUGAAAGCCUUGGGCUCAACCCAAGAAAUGCUCUUAAUACUGGUUUUCUAGAGUGUGGGAGAGGUAAGUGGAAUGCCUGGUGUAGCGGUAGAAUGCGCAGAGAUUAGGAGGAACAUCAGAGGCGAAGGCGGCUUACUGGACCAUAACUGACGCUGAGGCUCGAAAGCGUGGGGAGCAAACAGGAUUAGAUACCCCAGUAGUC